UACAGAGGUCUCAAGCGUUGUUCGGAUUUCAUUGGGCGUAAAGGGUGCGUAGGUGGCGCGGUAAGUCCGGGGUGUGGAAAUUUCGGAGCUUAACUCCGAAACUGCAUUCGAUACUGCCGUGCUUGAGGACUGGAGAGGAGACUGAAUUUACGGUGUAGCAGUGAAAAUGCGUAGAGAUCGUAAGGAAGACCAGUGGCGAAGGCGGGUCUCUGGACAGUUCCUGACACUGAGGCACGAAGGCCAGGGGAGCAAACGGG
rnacentral:rRNA from 1 species